UACGUAGGGUGCGAGCGUUGUCCGGAAUUAUUGGGCGUAAAGGGCUCGUAGGCGGUCUGUCACGUCGAAAGUGAAAACUCAGGGCUUAACCCUGAGCCUGCUUCCGAUACGGGCAGACUAGAGGUAUGCAGGGGAGAACGGAAUUCCUGGUGUAGCGGUGAAAUGCGCAGAUAUCAGGAGGAACACCGGUGGCGAAGGCGGGUCUCUGGGCCGAUAUCGACGCUGAGGAGCGAAAGCGUGGGGAGCGAACAGG
rnacentral:rRNA from 1 species